rnacentral:lncRNA from 1 species
CCCCCAUCCAUCCCCCCCUUCCCCCCAUCCCCCACCCAACCCCAUCUGCCCCCCAUCCCCCAUCCACAGCCACUGAGCCCCACAACCCACACCAAUGUGCUCAUCCCUAAACCCAUUGGGUUUUACCCUCCCCCACCCCCAUCCCUGAGCUCUCAUCCCUCUUCCCACCCCCUCUAUACACCCAGACCCCCCUUCAUACCCCCCCUUCCACACCCACACCCCCUCCCUGUGCCCCCCACCCAGGAGUAUCCGAGAGAUGCCCCCCGACCCCCCAUACGUCCCAGUAUCCUACAAAGCUCCGGAGCCUUGGGCAGAGCACAGCAGACCCCGAGCGCUGCCCCCCGUCCAACACAAACCUCCUUCAGACUACGAGACCAUGUCGGACCCUGAACGUGACGUGUUGGUCCUCAAUCACGUGCUGGGAGAUAUGGACCUUUUUGUGGGGCGGCUGCAGGGCAGCGCAGGGAGCACCAAAACCCCAAAGAAGAAGAAGAAGAAGAAGAAGAAGAAAGGUGGGGGGGUGAGGGGGGGGCAGUGCUCAGGGUGCGAUGGGGCUCUGGGGGCUCCUUCAGCGCCACCCCCUCUGUAUUCCUCCCCCCC